rnacentral:lncRNA from 1 species
GGCCUCAUGUGCACUACCACAUUACCAUCCACUAGGCCAACAAUGAAGGAGGUUUUGGAAAUUCUUCGACAGUGCAGUCCUCAUGAGGACCAUGGAAGAAAGAAAAAGGACCAUGAAGCUGCACCUGAACAUACAUCGAGAUGUAAAGUCCAGCAACAUCUUACUAGACGCUGAGUUCAACGCGAAAAUUGUAGAUUUUGGAUUACCCAAGAUGUUGGUCAAGCAAGGAGAGCCCGAUACCAUGUCAGGAGUUGCAGGCUCUUACAGAUAUAUUGCCCCCGGUAAGACCAUCCAAGGCCUUCCUGUCCACAUGUUGUCAUUUCCAUAAUUUAUCGAUAAUUUUUAUCAAAUGAUUCUCGUAUGCUUGGAUGACAGAGUAUGCUUAUACACCAAAGGUGAAGGAGAAGACCGAUGUAUAUAGCUUUGGAGUAGUUCUUCUUGAGCUGGUGACGGGGAGAGAACCUAACAGCGAGCACAUGUGCCUUGUAGAAUGGGCAUGGGAUCAGUUUAGAGAAGGGAAAACCAUUGAGGAAGUGGUGGAUGAGGAGAUCAAAGAACAAUGUGACAGAGCACAAGUGACCACUUUCUUCAAUCUAGGCCUCAUGUGCACUACCACAUUACCAUCCACUAGGCCAACAAUGAAGGAGGUUUUGGAAAUUCUUCGACUGUGCAGUCCUCAGGAGGACCAUGGAAGAAAGAAAAAAGACCAUGAAGCUGCACCCCUGCUUCUAAAUGGCACUUAACCUGCCACUUUCAAGCAUAACGACAAGGGAUUUCUAUUUUUCUGUCAUUACUAUAGUGGGAUUUCAAAGAAAUGGGCUUCAUUUUUUAAACUUCUUAUUACCAGCAGGAGUCCCACUACCGUUAGCAC